rnacentral:rRNA from 1 species
UACGGAGGGUGCAAGCGUUAAUCGGAAUUACUGGGCGUAAAGCGUGCGCAGGCGGUUUGUUAAGUCCGCUGUGAAACCCCCGAGCUCAACUUGGGAAUUGCAGUGGAUACUGGCAAGCUGGAGUAUGGUAGAGGAAGGUGGAAUUCCCGGUGUAGCAGUGAAAUGCGUAGAGAUCGGGAGGAACACCAGUGGCGAAGGCGGCCUUCUGGACCAAUACUGACGCUCAUGCACGAAAGCGUGGGGAGCAAACAGG